rnacentral:misc_RNA from 1 species
AAAGUCGUAACAAGGUUUCCGUAGGUGAACCUGCGGAAGGAUCAUUACAUGAUAUCACAGUAGGGCUAAGAUGCGCUUCUAGUGCGGAGCCCUGCACUGAUAUUCCACCCAUGACUUUGAGCACUUUUUUCUCUCAUCCUUCUCCUCUGCUGUCAAGGGGACACCAUUCCUUUGGCGCCAGAUGAGCAGAGGAUGAGAAAUACUAUACUCUUUUGUAAUUGCAAUCAAUGUCAAUUAUAUCAUAAUUUACAACUUUCAACAACGGAUCUCUUGGUUCUG